rnacentral:rRNA from 1 species
UACGAAGGGGGCUAGCGUUGCUCGGAAUCACUGGGCGUAAAGCGCACGUAGGCGGAUUGCUAAGUCAGGGGUGAAAUCCUGGAGCUCAACUCCAGAACUGCCUUUGAUACUGGCGACCUUGAGUCCGGGAGAGGUGAGUGGAACUGCGAGUGUAGAGGUGAAAUUCGUAGAUAUUCGCAAGAACACCAGUGGCGAAGGCGGCUCACUGGCCCGGUACUGACGCUGAGGUGCGAAAGCGUGGG